UCUCGACUGGAGAAUGUGAAAGGUAAAAAUUAAGCAGCAUCUGAAGAGUCUUGAGUUCUGAAGUCCAAAUGAUUCUGUACAGGGCGGGACUUCUGAAGUGUCUGAAGCAUGAAGAGGGUCAGGCUCGAUGUUAGGGAAAGAUUCUUCACCAAGAGGGUGGCUGGGCACUGGAACAGCCUCCCCAGGGCAGUGGUCACAGCACCAAGCCUGCUGGAGUUCAAGAAGCGUUUGGACAAAGCUCUCAGACAUAGGAUAUGAUUUUUAGGUGGUCCUGUGUGAGUCAGGAGCUGGACUCAAUGAUCCUUGUGAGUCCCUUCCAACCUAGCAUAUUCUGUAAUUCCAUGAUUCUAAGUGUCCUCUCCGGAUAGAAAAAGUACUGUUAGUGUGAAAAACUAAGUCUAAACUAAGAUUAAAUCUGUACUUGGGGGUCUGUAGUCAAAUACAAAGGCUCACUAUGGACAAGUUAUUGAUAGAUGUAGAAAAGAGAAACCUAUUAAGUUUUGGGAAACUCUUUUCUAUAUUCUCUAGUGGCCCUGCUGCUGUCUGCUGAAGGAAGAAGAUGAAAAUUAUAUUGCUAGAGAAAGUGUGCAGGAAUUCCUCAGUGGUAAGUAUGCACAGUUCACUAACUAAUGUCUCUCUUCCUGCAGUCCCCAGAGGCUGAAACAGUUAGUUGAAUGAGCUUUUAUCUGAACAGGGCAUAAAACACCCAUCAGCUGGUAUGCUUCUGAUAUAAUUUUAAGUGUUUUGCUUAAAAAUACAUAACUGUGACUAUUGAACUCCUCAGAUGAUUCCUUCACGGAUGAAUAAGGAAGCUUCAGAUUCAUCUGUUCUAGAUAAGUCAGAUGUCUGUAAAGGAUCUGUGCAUGUGGUACUCACUCUUUGCACUGAAGAAACAAGACAAAGGACUUCUAGCCCUAUGAAGGGAGUGAAGUGCUAGUUCUUGUCAAGAGUCUCUGAAGGCAUCCCAGAAACUUCAGCCCUCUAGCUGCUCGUGAGGUAGUAACGUAUGUGUAACUGUUACAUCUGACUGAGCAUGCCUCUGGUUUUUGCUGUUCUUUUUGAGAUAGCUUAAGAAGCAAUACAUUUACGUGGAAUGUACCUUAUUCUGAAUAUCUAAAUAAAACCCAUGACUGUGCAGAGGGAAGAUUUUUGAAUGCUACAAACAAACAGAGGUCUGCACUGUUAUUUUUCUCCCGAACUGCAGUGCUGACUGAGUGGUCUACUGAAAUGAAUUUUUCGUUUAAUUUUGCACUUUUUCAUAAUAUAACUGUACAAGGGAAUGUGACAAUAUUCUCUCAUCAUAACUGCUUCCCCUAAUGUAAUGCAUACGAACUAUAGUCUAUAAAAAUACCGUGAAACAAGAGGUCUAGAGUUCAGCAAAAAUAAGAUCAGUAUUUAUGUGGAAGGAUUGUUGUCAUUCUGUGUCGUUUAUUGUAGCUGGUGGCAGCCUAGAAGUUUAUUGCAUUCGUUCUCCCUGUUCUGCAAUACUGACAAGUCAGCCUGAUCCUCUAUCCUUAGAGUAAGUGCAAAUUUAGAAAGUGUGUCUGCGUUGUGGCAAAUGAAGGCAGCCAGAGCUGAGAAAAGUGAACUUGUGUUUUAUUUAGCACAUCUGUAAAAUGACAUUCUGUUUUCUGUGUGGUAGCACCUAUGAACCAAUGAGCUCGAUGUUUUUAGUUUCAUGUAAACAGUCUCGAUAAGCAGAAAUGCAGUACAUGGAACAGGUCAAUAAACUGAAUACAAGAGGCUGUUAUGAAUAGCGGGUGUUCUUGGUAUAAGCUGAUUUCAUUUGCACUGACAUUUGUGGUAGAAACAGAAGUGUGUCCAUACUUCUAAAUUGCCAUUCAAAACCUAUUCCUAGCAAAAUAAUAACAUGCAAAACUCAAAUAACACAUCUUUGACUUUUGCAGUCUCAGUCCAUCUGUUUUAUUACAGAAGAUAAUACAGUCGUGUUGUGUGUCGUUCCCCCCCCCCCCCCAUCUUUCUUAUUGCAUUGUGCUGUAGGCCAGAAUAAAAAUGUUAAAUGUGACUCUAAAUAGUUUCUCAGCAUUUUUGCUGGCUUCUUCGAGGACUAGGAGAAAGAGCUGACAUUCACUGGGAAACUGGAAAUCUUCCAGUGUGUCAGAGCUCUCAUUGCCACGGUGUUUUUAGUUUGAAUUUUUGAGUAGGGAUGUUGUUACAUAC